rnacentral:rRNA from 1 species
AUUGAACGCUGGCGGCAUGCCUCACACAUGCAAGUCGAACGGCAGCACGGGAGCAAUCCUGGUGGCGAGUGGCGAACGGGUGUGUAAAGUAUCGGAACGUGCCCAGUCGUGGGGGAUAACGUAGCGAAAGUUACGCUAAUACCGCAUACGAUCUAUGGAUGAAAGCGGGGGAUCGCAAGACCUCGCGCGAUUGGAGCGGCAGAUAUCAGAUUUGGUAGUUGGUGGGGUAAAGGCCCACCAAGCCAACGAUCUGUAGCUGGUCUGAGAGGACGACCAGCCACACUGGAACUGAGACACGGUCCAGACUCCUACGGGAGGCAGCAGUGGGGAAUUUUGGACAAUGGGCGAAAGCCUGAUCCAGCCAUUCCGCGUGCAGGAUGAAGGCCCUCGGGUUGUAAACUGCUUUUGUACAGAACGAAAAGGUUUCUACUAAUACUAGGAGCUCAUGACGGUACUGUAAGAAUAAGCACCGGCUAACUACGUGCCAGCAGCCGCCGUAA